UACGUAGGGUGCGAGCGUUGUCCGGAAUUAUUGGGCGUAAAGAGCUCGUAGGCGGUUUGUCACGUCUGCUGUGAAAUCCCGAGGCUCAACCUCGGGCCUGCAGUGGGUACGGGCAGACUGGAGUGCGGUAGGGGAGAAUGGAAUUCCUGGUGUAGCGGUGGAAUGCGCAGAUAUCAGGAGGAACACCCGUAGCGAAGGCGGCACUCUGGGCCGAUACUGACGCUGAGGCGCGAAAGCCAGGGGAGCAAACGGG
rnacentral:rRNA from 1 species